rnacentral:rRNA from 1 species
AUGGCAAGAACCGGAGCGCGCGCCCGGCGCCACGCACUCCUGCUCGCCGCUCUCGCGCUCUGCGCCGCGUGCGCGUGCGUGCCGGCAGCCCACGCGGGCGCGCUCCGGGCGUCGGCCAUCUCCGCGGCGCCGGAGCCGUCGCCGUACCCUCUGCUGCAGCCGCGCCACCGCCACGCGAGCGCCCCCACCGCGCUCCCGCCGUCGCUCUCGCUCUCCCCGGACAUAAUGCCGCUGCUCCCGUCCCCGAGCCCCGGCGACGACACGCUGGCGCCGUCCGACGCGGCGGCCACCAUCCCGUCCAGCCCGAGCCCGCCCAACCCCGACGCGCUCGAGCCCGACUCCGCCUUCGCGCCCUUCGGCUCCGCCGCGCCCGCCGCUGUCGCCGGAAUGCAGUCCUCCGCUCCGUCGCGGCCCCGCAUGGCGUGGGCGGUGCUCCCGGCCGUGGGGCUCGUGGCCGCCAUGUGGUUGGCGAAGCAGACAUCCGCCAGGUUCGAGCAUGGUGGAGAUGGGAUCCGUGGGUCAGUCUUACCAUCUCUGGGGCAGCAUCUCAACGUGGCCCUGCCCAGCGUGCCCCAGCCCCUGUGCACCUUAGGCAAGCUUCUGCUCCAUCUGAACUGUUCUGUGGUCAAUAUACUAAAAGGUGAUGUGCUUAAAUCAGAGCUUUUUGGCUUGCUAUCUGCUGUUUUCUGCAAGACCAGACCAUGGUCUUGGCAAAUUAGGGAGUUAGCCUGUAAAACCUUUUUGGUUAGGUUUCCACCAUGGAAGAAUGUUGAAGAUCUGAUAGAAUUUCCUGCUUUUGACCUACCCAAGGAAGGAGUAAAUGUGAAUGUGACUGAAUGGAAAGAUGAUGAAGAUGGAGAUGAUGAAGAAGGAGAGGAUGAUGACAUUCAUGAGGAUAAUGGUAAUUUGCAUGGAAAUAAGGCUGAUGAUGUUCAGAAUGAAAAAUUAACUAAUGUUGAAAAUGCUAUAGAUGAGUUGGAUAGAGCUAACCUGAGCUCACAUGAACUCCUGGGGGAGGAUGUUGCCUCAUUUGAGGGUGAGGGUAUAUGUAUUACCAACAAGGUUGAAGUUUUUACUGAGGAUUUAUAUCCCUGUGAUGACCAAGAUAAUGCUGUUUGGGAUAAGAGUGUGGACUAUUGUAAGAAGCUGCUGAUGUCUAUUGACUGUUCUGACUCUAAGGAUGAGAUAAGUAAGGAAGAAGAGAUGGAAGUUUUACCUAUUGAAGCUGUUGAAAUGACUAGUUCUUGUGGACUGAAGAGGUCACUGAUUACUUCUUUAGAUGAGGUGGGUGAUACUGGAAAGCCUAAAAAAUACAAAGAUCAAGUGGGGUCUUCUGCUGUCUCAGAAACCUCACACUAG